AAUAAUAAUAAUAAUAAAUAAAGAAAUGCCUAUUUGUGCGGUUAAAUGCUUGUUUACAGCGUAUUACUUCGUAUUCAGCCGAUUUAUGUGUUAAAUAUAUGGAUAUACAAGGGCCUGCCAUUAAUCGGUGUUUCUCCCAGCUUGUGCGAACAGACGAGUCAUCACCACAAAUGGACAACAAAGCGUUUACUUUGAUUUUCCAAAUUAAUUCAUUGUGCACAAGCACCAACAACAAAUAAAUAAAGCACAUAUAAAACUUUAUACUACACGCGACGGCAUUGACGACGAGACAAAUAGAAUUUUGCUGCCAUUCAUUGCUCCCCGGCACGUAAUACUAUUCAGGCUAACCACACAAAAAAUUUCAUAUCCCGUCGUCGUCGUAGUCGUCAUCGGCGGCGACAUUCGACGUUCUCAUCGUUGCCAUCAGCAUACAAAAAAGAUCUCUGGAAUAACAGCCAAAUACUCGAUUAAUGUAUACAACAACAGAAGGGAGAACCGACCGACCGACCAGCCAGUCAACCAAACAACACACAACAACAGCACAACAACAUGACAGCAGCAGCCGUAAACAGUACAAGCACACUCGCAAACACAUACAUACAGAGUCAACGUUAUAAGAACGGUGUGGUAAAAAGGAAGUGACGAAAAAAGGCAAAAGAUCAAAAGAAUUUUAUGAAAGGAUACAACGAAAGAAGCUGAGCGAUUUAGCUGUGCGUCGCCAAGGGAAACAGAAAUAAAUACCGACUCAUUACGACAGAAAUGUAUACAUAUGUACAUAUAUACUUACAUACAUGAGUACGUAUUUAUCUACGCUACUACUGUUAUUGAGAUAAUGUAAAAGGGUUUUUCAAUAUGCGGAUUGGAUGGUGGAUGGAUGGUGUGGAUUGGUGGAUUUGGAAUUAUGGAAUUUUCGGCGGCUGCAGCUGUCUGUGCUUCUGUUAAAGGAAAGCAUAUUCGUUAACUUUCGGCAGAGUAUUUUAAGAGUAACGGCAUAUUAAAGCUUAGCUUUAUACAGUCUAGUCUACCAAACAGAUUGUCAAGUUCAGUUUUGUCGCGUGAAGCGGCUGGUAUAUAAGUGUUAGCUAAGCUCGAAGUCAUCAUAAUCUCAAGCAUUCCAUGUCAACUAAAUCACUCGAUCAGAAAUCAUCCAAAAUAAAAUAUAUUCUCGAUUUAUGAACUGCCUUAGUCACACAGGAACAUAUUUGAUACUGAUGUUACUGAAGCUCGUGUGAACCCUCGAUUCCUCGUACGAAAAUUUAAAUUAUCAAAGCACCAAUUUGUGCCAAAUGUCAACCCCUUUAUCUUUGCUAAGCGAAACAAAUUGAAUACUUCGCAUUUGGAUAUCAAAGCAACACUAAAACUCAAAAAGCUUGCACGGAGGGACAGGGCUCAAUUAGAGGAAUACCACGGCGUACAAAUAUCUGCGCAAACUGUACGAAGACGACUACAAGAAAAUUCAUUGAAUGGCCGUUUUCCAAGACGAAAACCUAACGUUCCAAAAAAAUAUAUUGAAAAGCGAAAAGCGUUUGCUAAAGACCAUCUCUGGAAGGACUCUAAAUUUUGAAAUUUGGUGGUUUGGAGUGACGAAUCCAAAUUUAGUGUAUUUGGUAAUGAUGGGAAACCAUAUUUAGGACGACUCCCUUUGCAAGAACUCAAUCCCAAAUACACUAAAAAAACCAUGAAAUAUGGCGGUUCAUCGGUGAUGGUGUGGGGUUGCUUCACGUCAUCAGGCGUUGGCCCGAUUGUUAAAAUAGACGGGMAAAUGACAGGUGAAAUGUACAAAGGAAUACUGGAGAACAAUUUMGACGGUGAUUAUGUGGACAACUUACCGUUAGCUUGGAUUUUCCAGCACKAUAACGACCCCAAACACUGCUCGCGGGUCGUUAAAACUUGGAUACGUA